rnacentral:lncRNA from 1 species
AAGAAACUCCUUUGCCUUAAUGUGCAUCCAAGCACCACAAGGCUGCAUUUCCAUACACACACUGCACAUACCUGAGCCUUUUGUGAAUGUCAUCUGUGCAUCCACUGGUGUGAUACUGGUAUUUUCUGCUUCUGUCCAAAACAGGAACAGCACACACUCUGGCAGGUUAAAUAUAAAACCAUCAUAAAAGAGGCCAAAAAAUAUUUUGAAGCAUUAAAUCUUUUCCAAAUAGAAACAGUAGAACUGCCAAGGAACGUUAGCAACCAGCAGGCAAUGACCUCACACUAUGGCCUGAGCAGAACUUAUGCCUUAUGCCUUUUGCUUCCUAUUGUGCCCUAAAAUGUGAAUAUUGGACACAAGAAGCCGCAGUGAAUGAAACAUCAGGUAAACACUUUUAGAACCUUAAAAAGCAUUGGAUCAAAGUUUUGAGAUGAGAUCCGCAAUGAUCUUAUUUUAGGCAAGCCACUUUCAUAGAUUUAAAGCCCAAAGUGCCCAUUUAGUUACAUGUAGCCCAUUUAGUUUGAUUUAGCCCAAAGAACCUCACCCAGUAAUUUCAGCAGCAAGCCUAUAACUUUGGUUUGAGCUAUGUUGUGCUUUAAAAUAGUUUUUGCCUUUUCUAGGUCCCUCAUUAAGCAACCUAGCUACCAAUUGCCACUGAAGCCUCUUGCUUUACAACUUCUUACCAUGAAUUCGCAUCAGAUAUGAGUAAUUGUUCCCAGUUCAUCUUCCCUGCAUCAGAUAUGAUUUCAAUGAAAAUAUGAUAAAUGAGAAUUUGUCAUCUAUUUUCCAGGUAGUCCUGGAGUCUGGAAUAUUGGAAAGGAGUGAGAAAGCAGAAAAGUACUGAUGGGCUCAACUUGCAGCAGAUUUCCAUUCCAUAUCAUGAGGAACUGGCUCUGCAACCCCAUUAUUAGUUUCCUAGCUGGAUCCCUUCUGCAGCAGUGUUGCUUCCAGAGGACUCUUCACCAUCAGCUGUGCCCAGAGGCGGGUUUUGGUGAAUGGAUUUGUGCUCCUUUGUUCACCUCCCCAUAAGAUACUAAAGACAAUAUCCACAUAAUCAAGUCCCAAUAACAUCUGAAUAAAGUAAUUGUAAAACAAACCUCCCGUUCUUUA